rnacentral:lncRNA from 1 species
CUCUGCAACUCCUCCUCCUGGAUCCUCUCCUCGUCCCAAACGAAGACGCCGGCUAACGCCGCCAUCAAGGCAGAGGCAUGGCCAGGACGGCCGUGCAGCCGGCGCCAGAGGCGGCCGAGGAGAACGCGGCGUGAGCUCUCGGAGUAGAGGCGGCCGUAGAGCUGCGCGAUCUGCUGCGCGCGCCGCACGCGCAGGCCCGUGACGAAGCGGCACUGAUUGGCCAGAAGCGCCAGCAGGCCCCCGCCCCGCGUCCCCGCCAGCCAGGCGGCCAGCAGCCUCCGCGGGAGCAUGCCGCCUCCCGCAGGGCCCGCCGCGAGCUUCCGGGGCCCAAGGAACCAGUCCGGAGGGGCGCAGGCGGUGGUCGCAGCGUCCCCCUAAAUGGCCGGCCACGAACCCGUCUCACGGUCCCGCGGCCAGGAGCCGCCGCUCAUCUGUCUCUGCAGCCACCGCUGAGGAAGAGUCUCCUCUGAGGGGAGAGUCGGUCAUGGCAGCAGACGCCGGGAUGGCUCCGCGACUGCUACACCAGGCACUCCUGGGCCCGGGCAGCAGACCAGUCAGCCCUGUGGCUCCUCGGCGACCUCCAGCGGGCGCCCGGGGCCGGGAUGCAGGGCGCGCGGACAGAAACGAGACAGACAGCUCAGGCCCAGCAGCACGCAAGCUCCCGCGCCUUCCGCGACUGCCACACGCGCGGCGCGCGCGCACCCUACUUUUUCUCCGCCACCUGGGCCGUGAUUGGGCGCGACCUGGGCUCCUGGGUGCUCAUUGGCGCCGUGAAGUGCUCGUCACCGCCCCCUCCUGCCCCUUCAUGCAUGCGCGGAGGCCGCCUGCUAGCAAGGUUCCCACGUAACAUCACAUCAGACCCAAGGGCCCGUUCAUUGCAAGGCGAAGGAGGCAUGACAAUGGCACGUGACCAUGGGAUCACUGGUCCUGUCACAUUCUGCACCACCCAGAAGAUACUGGCUUGAACGAAGAGAAGAAAUGGGCUGUUGAAGGCGUAGCUGAGAUGCCAGCUCAGAGACGAUGAUACCAAGUGCUGAACCUGAGAGCAGCCCCAGUACACUCCCUGCAUGGGAAUCUCCAUCUCAAAGUCAGCCUCCAGGGAGCCCGCCCUGAAACAGAUUCUGUCAUGGAACUCAACAGAGUAUCCUGGUGCGGAUAACCAGUGUUGGGAGUUAGAGCACGGACUCUCUCCACCUGCACGGUGCUGGAGCUCUGCACACCCCCUCUGCAGCCAUCCCUCGCCGCUGUCCCUUAGCUGACGCCCUUGCCCUCUGUGUGUCCUUCCUCAUGGCCUGCAGGUUUCAGAUCCCAAGCUACAGAUCAUGUCUUCUAGUCUGGGCUCUGGCAGAGAGUUCGGAAGCACUCUUAUUAUCUUAGCAGCAGCAUGUGUGGAAAUCAUUUCUCAUUACAGCGGAGGGCAGGCAUUGUGCAGAGGGUUAAGUGGGCCUGCUUGAAGUUGGUUGUUGUUAGCUCUCAUGUCUAUGCCUUGGUCCCUUUCCCCUCAGGACUUGGAGAGCAAGCUGUUUGAGUCUGAUGCAACCCCUGGGCUUUGACUAUCAUGCCAAAAGGCAGCAAAUAAGUGCCUUUUCUUCCCUUCAGAAUACAUGGACAAUCCAAAGCUCUAUUAGUCUAUUAUUCAGAAUGAAAAGUGUUUACAAUAUUCGUCCUCUUACUCCUCAGUAUGUGAGACUGUUCCUCGUAGCAGGUAAUUUCUUCCGAAUUCAAAAACUCCUCAUGGAAGCAUCUGUUUUUGUCAUCAAGGAGGGGGCUGUAUGUGGAAUUGCAAGGCCAAAGACAUCUCGGGUCAACUCUUCUCAGGACCAGAUCCAAGUCGCCAGUGAGAACACACAUUCAGGCAGCCUCCACCAGCGCCCUGCCUCAGGAGCGAGGCUCCCUGCUUCAUGUGGGCAAGAGCUGCCCUUGUUUUCCCAGCGGGCAGUUGGGGGUCUGGAGCCUAGGAAGCAAAGUGAAGCACACACUCCUGCUUCCUUCCUUCCCUGCAGUUGGUGAGUAUCUGGCUCAGUUUAGGUUAAUAUCAUCUCUUCAGCCUGGCCCAGUUUACCACUAUGGGAAGGAGCCCAGCAGCAGGGGCUGCCAGACCUGGAAAUAGAUCUGCUCAUUGCAGUGUGGCAGGUGCAGAGAAACAGAGCCAGCUAUAGCUGGAAGAGAAUCUUAGGGCACAGAGAUGCACCAACAUGUAUGAACAAGUCGAGACCCAAGUACCAAGCUGUAGAGUUACUGCACCAUAGCAACCCAGGCCAGCAGGCAAGGCAAGAGGGCAGUUAUUACAGAGAGCCAUGGGGCAAGAGUGGAGCCACCUUGACAGUGGGGGUGACCAGAAGCCACAUCUAGGAGUGUUGGCCCAGAGUCUCUGCAUUUCCUCCUGCUCAGGACCUUAAGAGAGGCCCAUCUUAAAUGCCACUGUCUCCAUGAGCUUUUGGAAACCUUACCAGUUUCCUCCCCUGUUCAGGGAGUUCCACUAGGGUAACAUUCCUGCCUUCUCUCCACCCCUCUAUUACUUUGCCCCAGGGAAAAUAAAAGAUGACUGCUUGGAUAGGUAGGUGGGGAGGGGAAACUGGUCCUGUGUAGGCCAGUGGGCCCCUCCAUCACCUUGGGGGUGAGCUGCAUGCAGGGUAUAAAAUCCCACUGCUCUCGCUGAGGGGGCUGCACUCCUGCAGGACUAAAGGAGGCUUUCUCUGGUUGAGGGCUACCAUGGCUGGGCGGGUGAGCCUGCCUCCUAGUGGGAUUUGCAUUAGCAGCUCACUUAGUUCACAGGUCUAAAGCUGUGUCCUCCAGCCCAGCCCUCUAGCAGUAAUUAAGAGGAUAUUUUGGUUCCUGUUGCCACUCCUUUGUUUUAUUUCUCAGGGCCCUCAAAGACACCCCAGAAUAGAUUUCCUGUCCCCUUUAAUCUUGCCCUUCUUUGAGUCCCCAUUGCAUUUUAUGGUAUAUUUCUAGCAUGACCUUUCAUUCUUUCAGUAAUUACCUCCUUAUUUCCUUCACCCCUGCAUUUAAAAAAAAAUUUUAUAGAUGAGGUCUCACUCUGUCACCCAGGCUGGAGUGCAGUGGUGCAAUCAUAGCUCGCUGCAGCCUUAAACUCCUGGGCUCAAGCAGUCUUCCUGCCUCUGCCUCCCAAGUAGCUGGGACCACAGGUGCACAUGACCAUGCCCAGCUAACUUUUUUUUUCUUUUUUGUAGAGACGGGAGUCUUACUUUGUUGCCCAGGCUGGUCUCAAACUCCUGGCUUCAAGCAAUCCUUCCACUUUGGCCUUCCAAAGUGCUGGGAUUACAGGCAUGAGCCACCAUGCCCAGCCUCCUUCUCUUACUAGCUGAGAACUAAGAGAAGACACUCUGGAGACAGAGGAGGAAACAGUGACGAUGCCACAUGAUGAAUACAUAAUGGAGGGUGAAGACAAGGCUCCGUCAGGGGCACCAAGGAGGGAAACCCAGUUCUGUGGGGAAGGUAUGGGGCAGCUUCACAAGCCCAGUGUCUGCUCCCUUUGUGGGAGACGUGUUGUUUCAGCAUCCAUUCCCCCUUCUUUUAGGAAAAGUGCUUGAAUUUCCUUUUCAUGGAACCACCCACCUCCCUCUCAUCCAUGCAUUCUAUUCCCAGUAUCAGGGGUAGACAAGUGACUUCAGGCUUGGCCAAUUAGGGUUCUGACUCUUGGUCAAAUCAGAGUGAAUCCUGAGUCAUUUGUAAACUCCAAGGAAAGGGCUUGCUUUGUUUUCUGUUGAAUGCAGUGCUCUGAGAUAGCCGGAAAUGAAACUGCUCUCUUGCCACACUGAAGGCUAGAGAAGGGCCUGGCCAGGAAAUGAUGCCAGUGAUCAGGGGUGGAGCUGGAAGAGGGGGAGUGAGGAGGCCCAGACAUCUUGGGAGCCCCAAAUUCACCUCAGGAUUUAACUUCUCCGCUGCUCAGCCAAUAAAUUCCUUUCUUCCAUGACUAAUUUGAGUUGAGUUUUUAGUUUUUGCAACUAAAACAGCACUGACUAAUACACCCUUAGGUAAGAUUAGAGCAAGAAUUUCCAAUAUCUGUGUUCUUCAUCCUGAAAUUUGGUGAGGAUAUCUAAGGUUCUUUUGUCUUUUAAAAGAAUUCUGUUGCAAUGGAAAGUAUCAAUCCAUAUUUUUCCAUUUCUCCAAAAUGUUUUAGUGUAUAUCUAUGGGGCACAAACUUAAUCUCUGUAGGCCCUCUGCCAUAGUUGCUCUGUGCCACUUGAUAAGGGGCUGGUAUCUAGAAUAUAUAAAAACUCUUAAAACUCAGCCGGGCAUGGUGGCUCAUGCCUAUAAUCCCAGCUCUUUGGGAGGCCGAGGCAGGCGGAUCACCUGAGGUCAGGAGUUUGAGACCAGCCUGGCCAACACGGUGAAACUCUAUCUCUCUAAAAAUACAAAAAUUAGGCGGGCGUAGUGGCUCACUCAAGACUGAGGCAGAAGAACCACUUGAACCCAGGAGUUGGAGGUUUCAGUGAGCCCAGAUGGCUCCACGGCACUCCAUCCUGUGCAACAGAGUGGCACAGGAUGGCAAAAACAAACAAAAGCUCUUAAAACUCAACAAUAAAAGACAACCCACUUUAGAAAUGAGAAAAGGGCCAAGUGUGGUGGUAAUCCCAG